CAGAACCAGGACCGAUACUAGACCAGAACCAGGACCGAUACUAGACCAGAACCGAUACUAGACCAGAACCAGGACUGAUACUAGACCAGAACAAGGACCGAUACUAGAUCAGAACUGAUACUAGAACAGAACCAGGUCUGAUACUAGACCAGAGCUGUUUCAGGGCUUAAACUAAACCAGAACCAGA